rnacentral:rRNA from 1 species
UACGGGGGGAGCAAGCGUUGUUCGGAUUUACUGGGCGUAAAGGGCGCGUAGGCGGCGCAACAAGUCACUUGUGAAAUCUCCGGGCUUAACUCGGAGCGGCCAAGUGAUACUGUCGUGCUAGAGUGCGGAAGGGGCAACUGGAAUUCUCGGUGUAGCGGUGAAAUGCGUAGAUAUCGAGAGGAACACCUGCGGCGAAGGCGGGUUGCUGGGCCGACACUGACGCUGAGUGAGCGAAAGCCAGGGGAGCAAACGGG